rnacentral:rRNA from 1 species
GACGAACGCUGGCGGCGUGCUUAACACAUGCAAGUCGAACGAAGGGCGAUGGAAGCUUGCUUCUAUCAAUCUUAGUGGCGAACGGGUGAGUAACGCGUAAUCAACCUGCCCUUCAGAGGGGGACAACAGUUGGAAACGACUGCUAAUACCGCAUACGAUCUAAUCUCGGCAUCGAGGAUAGAUGAAAGGUGGCCUCUACAUGUAAGCUAUCACUGAAGGAGGGGAUUGCGUCUGAUUAGCUAGUUGGAGGGGUAACGGCCCACCAAGGCGAUGAUCAGUAGCCGGUCUGAGAGGAUGAACGGCCACAUUGGGACUGAGACACGGCCCAGACUCCUACGGGAGGCAGCAGUGGGGAAUCUUCCGCAAUGGACGAAAGUCUGACGGAGCAACGCCGCGUGAGUGAUGACGGCCUUCGGGUUGUAAAACUCUGUUAAUCGGGACGAAAGGCCUUCUUGCGAAUAGUGAGAAGGAUUGACGGUACCGGAAUAGAAAGCCACGGCUAACUACGUG